GGAUAUAGUUUUAUUUCAGAAAUGUGUGAAUAGAAUCGCUUUUUGAGAUUAAUAAUCAUAUUAAAAUGUAUAUAAAUGUAAAAAGUCUGUACAUGGACCUAUUACUACCCAAUGACGACAUCUUACUUCCUGUGCAUGUUUUCUGCAAAUGUUGACUGGAUAUAUCCAUAACGAGAAGAGCACAUGCCACGGUUUUUUAUAUGCCAGUUGUGAGGCACUGGUUGGAACGGUCAAUCAGGGAAUAGGUCAACCUAGGCGAUUCGAUUCUACGACUCAAGCAUCUCAGAUGGUUCAAUAUUAUCAGUGAACUUCAUUACACUCAUUCACAGAACUGAAGUAAGGACACGGUAUAUCUGAAUGAACGUGAAGACGACUUAAGCUCCACACGUCCUAGAGUUGUGUAACGGUCUGAAAGUGUUUCCUUGUCGUGUUGCAUUGACGUCUUCUCUGCUUGUAAUGUCUUCAAUGGACCUAUCACCUCGUGGUGACAUGAAUGGAUGUUUUAAUUGUGAAAUAUUGAUACGGUUGACAUCGGUAUGUGAUACUAAUAUUCCACUUUCUCUUGUCGACCCCUGACAUUUCAGUAGUUCACUUUCAUCAUGUUAGUGAUUUAGUUGCGGCGUUUUUCCUUCUAUUUUUUUUCACUUUUUUUCACUUUUUUUCAUUUUUUUUUUUUUUUUUUUUGGUGGGGGCUAUACUACAGAGAAUUGCAGACUUCAACAUAAAGAUACGUAAUAAAUACGUAAUAAAAUUAAAGUAAUAAUUUACACACACACGCACAUACACACACAUACACAAAACAGACACACACACACAGACACAAACACACACACACACACACAAAGACACACAGACACAC